AGUGACAGACAUGGAACUAGAAUUCUUUCUUAACUCUCUCUUCUUUGCACUUUGCUCUCCAAUUCCUUCCUCCUCUUAUUCAUUUAACAAAUAGUAUGGAGCCCCUGGAGUAGGAAAUGGCAACCCACUCCAGAAUUUCUGCCUGAAAAAUUCCAUGGAUGCAGGAAACCAGUGGGCUACAGUCCAUGGGGUCACAAAGAGUGGCAUGACUAAGAAAACACACACACACUCACAUGGAGCCCCUACCACAUGCCAAUCACUGCUCCAUGUGCUGGGCCUGCAGUAAGUGAGUGAGAAAGACGUGCUUCCUGCCUGCCGGACUUUCUAAUGGAGGGGAGGAGGCAGAGAAUAAAAGCAUCAGCAAAUCAAUCAGUUGGAUGAUUGGAGCGAGCUGUGUGUCCUAAAGAAAGCAGAAGGGUCAGAGUAGCUUGGCCCCGUUCCGGGGGUUGGCCAGGGAAGGCCACCCUGAACAGAUGACCCGGGAGGGGACCCAGAGUGAGAAGAAGCCAGCCACAAGGUCAGAGAGGAACGUUCCAGGCAGAAGGAAGAGCAACAGCCAGGCUGUACUUCCUCCCAGACUCAACUCCUUGCUCCACUCUGAACAAGAGAACCACACACUGGAAGACUCCGAGAACACUCCAGGAGCUCAGAGGAGUAAAGACCAGUGGAGCUGGUGACACCAUGGAUGUGGUGACAGCCGGCCGCACACAGCAUAAGAGCAAAACCCCGGGCACGGGAAGUGGACACCAGCUGCACAGACAGAGCCCUCAUUUGUCUUGAAAUCUGCAAGACUGAUCUCAUAUCUGGUCACCAGUCCUGGCCCAGAACAGGAAUUAGGAGCCAAGAGAAGACUUCAGUUUCAGUCACAGGACUUCAGAGCUGGAAAGAGAUGGAAGUUUCAUCUCAUCCAAAACAUUCAUCCGGAAGAUCAGGAAACUGAGGACCGAGAAAGGCAAGGUCAGAUCUGAAGCGCAUUCCUUUUGACGCCAUGCCACCGUGAGCUUCCAAAACAAGAUCGGCUCUCAGGCAAGCCUCUGAAUGGGUCACAAAAUUCAAAGCAGAACCGAAUGAAGCCAAGUUGCCAGGCAUGAUAUAGAAAGCUCUGUUGUGCAUCUAUAGAGAGACUUAACACACCCUGUUCUAGUGUAGUAAUUUAACCAGUGUGGCUGAAAAACUUAGCUCUCAUCUUUUGAAUAAACCUUUAUAGAAACACUGCAAGUUAGAAUCGUGUUUGUGUCAGAUCAUAACUUAUCAUUUCUGGAAUGAAAUUCUCAAAUAUAUGUCCUUUGGAGUUCUUCCAAGAAGCUUCCUACAGAGUUCCAGAUGAAGAGAAUAACCUAAAAGAUAAUAUCAAGAUUGUCCUCCAGAAGACCAGAUUCCCCUCCCAGGGACACUGACACAGAUUUCAUGAAAGUUUUCAUAGAAUUUUCUUCAGAUCUGCCAUGUUUGGCAUUUGUUUCCAUGCCCUUAAUAUCUACUGAAUUCCUAAUAUUAUUGUUAUCUGCAUUUUUAUUAUUCAGUUUUCAUUUGUCACCAUAUCAAGUGAAAGUAGCUAGAUGGAUGGUCACCAAAUUCAGUGGGAAUGUUGGUGAGCAUCUUGUAUAGAAUAUAUAGGCUGUGUAAGAAACAAAAUUUAUUUUGCAGGGCUCAGGUGGGGGGCAUCACAAAGAGUAGGGAGGUCACUUAGACCCUGGAGGGAUGGCUGUUCAAGAGAAACAAGCCAGGACUUCCCUGGUGGUCCAGUGAUUAAGAAUCUGCCUGCCAGUGCAGGGGACACAGGUUCAAUCCCUGGUCCAGGAAGACCUCACAUGCUGCAAGACAACUAAGCCUGUGUGCCGCAACUGCUGAGCCCUCACUUCGGAGCCCACGCAUUGUAACUACUGAAGCCAGCAUGCUGUAGAGCCCACGCUCCACAAGACAAGCCACUGCAGUGAGAAGUCCACACACUGCCACUAGAGAACGCCUAUGCACAGCAAGGAAGGCCCAGUGCAGCCAAAAAAAGAGAGACAAGCCAUAGUCCUGAGAAAGCUAUAGGAAGAGAAACACACAGAGGGAUUUGAAUCUGACUCCCAUAUUGCAAGUCACAAGGGCAGACACUCUGAAUCACAGCAUUGAUUUGUGAUGGAGCUGGUUCCCACACGGGCCACUCCAUGGAGCAUGAUCCAGGGAUGUGUUUCUUAAUAACUCUAAUGACAUUGGCAACAACACCAGGGCCACACCUCCAGCAGGCCUGUCUUGGAGUGUUAUUCCCGAGCUAUAGUGAUUGGGGAGCAUUUCUGCUUAGUGUUGCACAGCGGUUCUCAAGCUUUCUUUCGUCUCUGUACCUUUACCCUCUCAGUUUAUUAGAAAUUCGAACUGAGAAGAAUAUUCUAAAACUUUAUGGGGUAACUUAGCUGGUAAAGAAUCCACCUGUAAUGCAGGAGACCUGGGUUCAAUCCCUGGGUUGGGAAGAUCCCCUGGAGAAGGGAAAGGC
ensembl:lncRNA